rnacentral:rRNA from 1 species
AUGAACGCUAGCUACAGGCUUAACACAUGCAAGUCGAGGGGCAGCAUGGUCUUAGCUUGCUAAGGCCGAUGGCGACCGGCGCACGGGUGAGUAACACGUAUCCAACCUGCCGUCUACUCUUGGACAGCCUUCUGAAAGGAAGAUUAAUACAAGAUGGCAUCAUGAGUCCGCAUGUUCACAUGAUUAAAGGUAUUCCGGUAGACGAUGGGGAUGCGUUCCAUUAGAUAGUAGGCGGGGUAACGGCCCACCUAGUCUUCGAUGGAUAGGGGUUCUGAGAGGAAGGUCCCCCACAUUGGAACUGAGACACGGUCCAAACUCCUACGGGAGGCAGCAGUGAGGAAUAUUGGUCAAUGGGCGAGAGCCUGAACCAGCCAAGUAGCGUGAAGGAUGACUGCCCUAUGGGUUGUAAACUUCUUUUAUAAAGGAAUAAAGUCGGGUAUGCAUACCCGUUUGCAUGUACUUUAUGAAUAAGGAUCGGCUAACUCCGUGCCAGCAGCCGCGGUAAUACGGAGGAUCCGAGCGUUAUCCGGAUUUAUUGGGUUUAAAGGGAGCGUAGAUGGAUGUUUAAGUCAGUUGUGAAAGUUUGCGGCUCAACCGUAAAAUUGCAGUUGAUACUGGAUAUCUUGAGUGCAGUUGAGGCAGGCGGAAUUCGUGGUGUAGCGGUGAAAUGCUUAGAUAUCACGAAGAACUCCGAUUGCGAAGGCAGCCUGCUAAGCUGCAACUGACAUUGAGGCUCGAAAGUGUGGGUACCAAACAGGAUUAGAUACCCUGGUAGUCCACACGGUAAACGAUGAAUACUCGCUGUUUGCGAUAUACGGCAAGCGGCCAAGCGAAAGCGUUAAGUAUUCCACCUGGGGAGUACGCCGGCAACGGUGAAACUCAAAGGAAUUGACGGGGGCCCGCACAAGCGGAGGAACAUGUGGUUUAAUUCGAUGAUACGCGAGGAACCUUACCCGGGCUUAAAUUGCAGAUGAAUUACGGUGAAAGCCGUAAGCCGCAAGGCAUCUGUGAAGGUGCUGCAUGGUUGUCGUCAGCUCGUGCCGUGAGGUGUCGGCUUAAGUGCCAUAACGAGCGCAACCCUUGUUGUCAGUUACUAACAGGUUCCGCUGAGGACUCUGACAAGACUGCCAUCGUAAGAUGUGAGGAAGGUGGGGAUGACGUCAAAUCAGCACGGCCCUUACGUCCGGGGCUACACACGUGUUACAAUGGGGGGUACAGAGGGCCGCUACCACGCGAGUGGAUGCCAAUCCCCAAAACCUCUCUCAGUUCGGACUGGAGUCUGCAACCCGACUCCACGAAGCUGGAUUCGCUAGUAAUCGCGCAUCAGCCACGGCGCGGUGAAUACGUUCCCGGGCCUUGUACACACCGCCCGUCAAGCCAUGGGAGCCGGGGGUGCCUGAAGUGCGUAACCGCGAGGAGCGCCCUAGGGUAAAACUGGUGACUGGGGCU